GAUGAACGCUGGCGGCGUGCCUAAUACAUGCAAGUCGAGCGAACAGACGAGGAGCUUGCUCCUCUGACGUUAGCGGCGGACGGGUGAGUAACACGUGGAUAACCUACCUAUAAGACUGGGAUAACUUCGGGAAACCGGAGCUAAUACCGGAUAAUAUAUUGAACCGCAUGGUUCAAUAGUGAAAGACGGUUUUGCUGUCACUUAUAGAUGGAUCCGCGCCGCAUUAGCUAGUUGGUAAGGUAACGGCUUACCAAGGCAACGAUGCGUAGCCGACCUGAGAGGGUGAUGGCCCACAUGGGAACGGAACCCGGGCCAAGACCCCAAGGGGAGGCACAAGGAGGAAAUUUCCCGAAAGGGGAGAAGGCCGGAAGGGGCAACCCCGGGUGAGGAAGGAGGUUUUUCGAAUCGAAAAACUUUUUUAUGGGGGAAAAAAAAAUGUGAAAGAAAAUAUGCGGGUCUUGAGGGUACCAAAUAAAAAGCCCAGGGAAAACUACGGG
rnacentral:rRNA from 1 species